rnacentral:rRNA from 1 species
UACAGGGGGGGCAAGCGUUGUUCGGAAUUACUGGGCGUAAAGGGUUCGUAGGUGGCCACUUAAGUCAGACGUGAAAUCCCUCAGCUUAACUGGGGAACUGCGUCUGAUACUGAGUGGCUUGAGUGCAGGAGAGGAAUGCGGAAUUCCAGGUGUAGCGGUGAAAUGCGUAGAUAUCUGGAGGAACACCGGCGGCGAAGGCGGCAUUCUGGACUGUAACUGACACUGAGGAACGAAAGCCAGGGGAGCAAACGGG